rnacentral:rRNA from 1 species
GACAGAGGAUGCAAGCGUUAUCCGGAAUUACUGGGCGUAAAGCGUGCGCAGGCGGUUUGUUAAGACAGAUGUGAAAUCCCCGGGCUUAACCUGGGAACUGCAUUUGUGACUGGCAAGCUAGAGUAUGGCAGAGGGGGGUAGAAUUCCACGUGUAGCAGUGAAAUGCGUAGAGAUGUGGAGGAAUACCGAUGGCGAAGGCAGCCCCCUGGGCCAAUACUGACGCUCAUGCACGAAAGCGUGGGGAGCAAACAGG